rnacentral:rRNA from 1 species
UACGUAGGGGGCAAGCGUUGCCCGGAAUCAUUGGGCGUAAAGAGCGUGUAGGCGGCUCGAUAAGUCCGCUGUGAAAGUCCAGGGCUCAACCCUGGAAGGCCGGUGGAAACUGUCGGGCGUAGAGUCCGGAAGAGGCGAGUGGAAUUCCCGGUGUAGCGGUGAAUGCGCAGAGUAUCGGGAGGAACACCAAUGGCGAAGGCAGCUCGCUGGGACGGU